GAUGAACGCUGGCGGCGUGCCUAAUACAUGCAAGUCGAGCGAACGGACGAGAAGCUUGCUUCUCUGAUGUUAGCGGCGGACGGGUGAGUAACACGUGGAUAACCUACCUAUAAGACUGGGAUAACUUCGGGAAACCGGAGCUAAUACCGGCUAAUAUUUUGAACCGCAUGGUUCAAAAGUGAAAGACGGUCUUGCUGUCACUCAUAGAUGGAUCCGCGCUGCAUUAGCUAGUUGGUAAGGUAACGGCUUACCAAGGCAACGAUGCAUAGCCGACCUGAGAGGGUGAUCGGCCACACUGGAACUGAGACACGGUCCAGACUCCUACGGGAGGCAGCAGUAGGGAAUCUUCCGCAAUGGGCGAAAGCCUGACGGAGCAACGCCGCGUGAGUGAUGAAGGUCUUCGGAUCGUAAAACUCUGUUAUUAGGGAAGAACAUAUGUGUAAGUAACUGUGCACAUCUUGACGGUACCUAAUCAGAAAGCCACGGCUAACUACGUG
rnacentral:rRNA from 1 species